ensembl:lncRNA
CAAAGUUUCAUCCAGUGUUUUAUUUAUUUGCAUUUAGCAAUAUUAUACAAAAAUCUUCAUCAGGUGGAAACUGUCAUAAUUUUCCUCUCAGCUCCCUGAAUAAUCAUGGGUACAUAGUCAAAAUUACAUUACUCUGAAUAAAACGUGUUUUUCAAGCAAAUAAAUGCACAAUAUAACUGCUGGUGUCACACACACCCAGACAUGAGUGGAUAGAGGGUCACAUUUAAAAGGUUGAAAUGCUGUUGCGCUAAUCAGAACACUCGUUCAAACAAAACGCUUAUAAACAACAAUAUUUGGGGGAGAAAAAUCAUCCUAUUGCUUUCUGAAAAACAAUAAUCGUACAAAGGAUAUUAUAAUCAGGACUCCCAGCCAGAGAACAGCGAGCGUGGAUACACCGUGGAUACACCAAACUGAACAAGUCACAAUAGUAUUACAAAUAAAAACUACUUUAACGUUAUCAAAUGCAGUUGGGAAGUGAGUAAAUCAAGUGAGCGAAUCAAGAUCUAGACGUUUGAGACGAGCAGGUUCCCGUGGCAACUAAUUUUUAAUUUUUUAAACGCUCUUUUCAGUAAGCUAAAUAUUAUAAUACACAUACGCUUUUAUCCAAACGACUUAGUCAUACGUGCAUCCAUAUUCUGAGCACAGGGAUCCUCCGCCAUCAGAAAAAAUGUAUGUUUGUUAAAGUGCACUUCAAUAAAAGUGCAAUCAGGCCAAGUGGACAGCCGGGUUCGGGUUAACAUCUCGGGUCACUAUGACAACUGACAUGGGUCAACAUGAACUCCUCUUUACUCACUAGGAUUAGGUCUGACAAACGUUGCUGCUCCUUGCCAACCUGUUGAAUCUAAAUGACUUUUUUUUUUUAAACGGUUGGAUUUUUCAAAGAUGAGCGUUUAAGACUGUGACACAUUGAUAUUUCAUAGAGAUAAUGUCUCAUCUCGUAUCUGAUAUUUCAGCUGCUAACAGUUCAUUCAUCAAUGUGUAGGUAUGUUUCCUAUGUGUCCAUGGAAAUUGAAAGUCCUGGGGCUUAUAUAAAAAACAAUGACCUUCAAAUAGCCAACAACAUACUAUCCACACUUCUACCCACUCUCUCCCCUACCCAUACUACAAUCCCUUCUCUACCCUACCCAUACUACAAUCCCUUCUCUCCCCUACCCAUACUACAAUCCCUUCUCUCCACUACCCACACUACAAUCCCUUCUCUCCCCUACCCACUCUCUCCCCUACCCAUACUACAACCC